GGAGUGCCCACUUUGUGGGACAUUCCAAGGCCCCAGAGUACACCUUCCAUUUGGUGGAUUGCCUGAGCAAACAAUUCAUCAAAAGAAACCAACAAGCACCAGUCUAAGGAGGCCUCCUCUGUAACAGGCAGGCUUGGGAGCCAAACCAAGUGAAAGACCCGCUCGAAAUGCCCCUGAGCCCCCUGCCCCGAAGCUGCCGGGGCCUCCCAAGCCUUCACCCCGGCAGGGCUCGCGCCCCCGGCCCGCCCCGCCUGGCACCGAGCCUCGGGGCUGGGGCCGAGCAACGAGCACCAGAUGGGCAGGCCCGAGAACGAGCACCAGGUAGGCUGGGGCCGAGCAACGAGCACCAGGUGGGCCGGCACGAGGGCGAGCACCAGGUGGGCCGGCACGAGGGCGAGCACCAGGUGGGCCGGCACGAGGGCGAGCACCAGGUGGGCCGGCACGAGGGCGAGCACCAGGUGGGCCGGCACGAGGGCGAGCACCAGGUGGGCCGGCACGAGAGCGAACACCAAGGGAGCCGGCCUGGAGCCCUGCCCCUGAGCCCCGCCCGAUGAGAAACACUCCGUCCCAAGGUCUCCGCCCCCAAGGUCAGCCAUCUGGACGCGGAGGGAGGGGGAAUUGAGUCUGUUGUACCAG
rnacentral:lncRNA from 1 species